UGGCCUGCCCCCCUCUGCCCCCUCCUAUCUCUUCGCCAGCCCCCACUCGUCCAGGCUCCCCCCACUGAGCUUCUUGCCUUCCUCAGAGGCUCACAGCAAGGCCCCCUCCCACGCUAACAGCCCGGGUCCGAGGCUCCCCUCAGCACUGGCCGCAGGCUGACCGGGAACGGGGGAGGUGCCCGUCUGGACACCAGGACUGCCCUGUGCCAGCAGGGACGUGGCCAAGGCUCCUCCAUGGGGAUGCGGAGGAGCGGAGGCCCAGGGAGGUCCAGCCACCGGGGCCUGAAGCCUUGCCCUGCCGGGCCCUUUCCUGGCCUCCAGAGAAGCCCAGAUGGGAUGAGGCAGAUGCGGGCUCCUCCCCCGCUUGCCCCACACAUCCCUGGGGCACCCGCCUGUCUGACUGGCAUGGGUGCCACUCCCUGCCAAGGCCAAUGCUCAGACGCCCACAGUCGGGGGAACCAGAAGGGGUGAGAAACUGGCUCCUCACUCAGCUGAUUUUUAACCUUCGUGUGAGACAUACUGUAUAAGGGCCAGCCUCGAUGCCAGGAAGAUCCAAGUUCAAGUCCUGCCUUGGACACCUCCUGGCUGUGCAACCCUCUCAUUGGCUCUUGCGUACAGAGCUCCCUUCCACCCAGUCCCCAUGGCUACCGCAGGCAGGGAACGGGCCGGGGGGGGGGGGUUCAGCCUCAGAUGGCGGGACCCCGAUGGGGCGUUGUGGUGGCCAAUGACAGAGGAGGACGACGAGAGUCGGCCACAGCCCUGAAACUGGCAGAGACCGAGCGACAGGAGCCGCCACAAGGCCACGGCACCCGGGAAACCUCGGCCACGGGCCAGAGAGUGACGGGGGCACAGAUGCCCACCGGGGGGUGGGCAGGGGUGACCUGGAAGGAAGGGAAGCCCACGAAGCUGGAAGCAUGAUGCAGAGCCUGAGCUGGGGCUGGGGGAGCCCGGGCACCCCCUUCCUGUCUCCAGGCUUCAGCUUCCUCGUCCAUAAAAGGCUUCUGUGAGCCACGAGGGCCUUCCGGGUUCCGGCCCUCCCAGCGGCCAGCCGGAGGCAGGGCCAAGACCCGGAGCCCUUGCAAGCUGGGAGACCCUGGCCAAGUCACCCUACCUCGCUGGGGCUCACCCAUCUGCAUCUUGCGUGUGUGAAUCAGACCAGAAACCCAGUCAGCUCGGGUCUGAGAAGGAACGAAAGGAUGUGUGCCAAGUGCUUGGCACAGAGAAGUUGCUGGGGGGAUACAUGAGAUCAGGGGAGGCACCACUGCAGCAUCCAGCUGGCCGGCUCAGCUGUCGAGGUAGUAGAACUGAGCGGUCAGUUCAGUCACAAGGGACCAAGCGGGGGUGGGGGGCGUCACCCUGGCUAGCCCGCAGCUGGUGGGAGUCAGUGGGGACACUUGGCAUCUGCCGGGAAGGCCAUGAGCAGUCUGGGGGCGUCUGGACCAAACUGAGCUCCUGUGGCACCCCAUCAGGAAGCUCCGGGUCGAGCCGACAGCAGCCACGGGCCAGUGGGGGCUGAUGAGUGAGGGGAGGGGCCCCCCAGUGCUCCCCUGCCUCAGUUUCCCAGUCUGUCCCACAGGUCUCUGGGGGGCCCGCUCCCCAUGGGGAAGACCCCCCAGCCCUUACCCGAUGACGUAGGUGAGGACCACCAGCUGGGUGAGCCGGAAGAUGACGCCCACCUUCUUGUUGCGCACCAGCACCAUGCGGGGGGUGUCGUACUCGAAGAAGAACGCCGACAGCUGGGACCGGAUCCGCGCCCGCAUGCUGGCCUGGCGGGCCGGAGACCCUGGGCCAGCCCCGUCCCCUCCUGGCUCGGCCGGCCCUCAGGGACAGAUGUGGACGGCUGUGGGCUUGUCCGGCUGUUGGACAAAUAAAUUUCCAUCUAUAGGCACAGGGGGUGGAGCCGGGGUGGGGGAUGGGGGCCCUCGGCCUCCGUCUCCCAGCAGCCAGGCUGGCCGGCCCCAGGGGCAGCCGCUCAGGAAACGUCGCCUGUCAGACACAGGAAGGCAGCAGCCGGGCUUUGCAGCUGGGCAAGAUAAGCCUGGCCCAAGAAUAGGAACAUGAGGGGGGCAGAGGUCCUGGGAGCCCCGUGCCAGGCUGCCAGGCAGCCACCUCAGAGAGGAAGCCUGAGGCUCCCCGAGCCCUGGCCAGGCCGGAGGACCCCAGGGACCCCGGAGGCUGGCACGAGGGGAGCCAGGUGCCAGGUCUGCAGUCAGCCGAUCUGGGUCCAAGUCGGACACUGUGACCUGGGGCAGAUUCCUUCCCCGGCAGGCAUCUCGGUUUCUUCAUCCGUAAAAUGGACACGAUAUUGCCGGCAGGCCUCCUCCCAGCUGGAACGGGCUGGCACAAACCACUCUGGGCUCCGUCCAGGUGCUCGUCUCCUGCCACCCACCCAGGCCCUCAGCUAGAGAUGGAAGGUCACAGACCAGUCUGGGGCACGAUCCGGGCACCUUCCUUCCUCAUCUCCCUUACUGUGCCAACCCUGAUGCCCACCCCCAGGAGGUCAUGGGUGGGGCACUCCCCAAGCCCCAGCCUCAAGGGCAGUGGGCAGAGCUCUGCUCCGAGCCUUGGCUCUCCUCCCAUGUUCCCAGCCAGGUCCUGGGGGCUCUCUGGCUACUCAGAAGUCCUGGGACCAGUCUCUACUCUAUCGUGCCAGCCAGAGAUCCUGGAGUGGGCCCUUGGGUGCCAUCUCAGGGACCUCCCACAUCCCUAUUCUAGGUGUGAUUCCCAAAGGCCAGGUGUUGAGCAGUGACCAGGGCAAUGUUGAGGGGAAGGACAAAAGAAGGGAGGGAGGAAGUGGGCAUUUAUGGAGCCACUACUGUGUGCCAAGGCAUUGUGCUAAGGACUCUGCAAUUACUACCACAUCUGGCCCUCCCAAUAGUCCUGGGAGAGAGGUGCUGUUUACAAUCCCCAUUUUACAGAUGGGGAAACUGAGGCAGACCAAAGUUCAGUGACACCCAGGGUUACACAGAUAGCAAGUGUCUGAGGCUGGAUUUGAACUCGGGUCUUUCUGACUAGGCAUUGUGUGGCCCUAGCUACCUCUAGGUUCUUUCCCACAGUUCUUUCUCAGACCAUGCGCCCCAUCCAUCCUUCCAUCCUGACCACAGAAGCCCAGCAGACUGUGUGCCCCGUAAACAAGGAGCUUGUGGAAGGCAGGUCAGAGUCCAGCCCGAAGAGAUCCUGACUCGGACACCAACCCCCCUGGGCUCCAGCCAAUGGCACCCUUGCUGAUCCUUGGACAAGACACCCCAUCCUGGAGCGCUUGCACAGGAGCCAGAAGGAACCCCCUCAUCUUACAGAGGAGGAGAUUGAGGGUCCCAGAGGCAGGCUUGGUCCGGGCUCAGGCUCAGGGCUGCCUCCUGGUAGCAGCUGCUGCCCACUUCCCCUCCCCCCAACUGCUCAGAUUCUUGGGAACUUCCUCUGAGGCCAGCUCACCACCACAUCCUCCACACAGCCUACUCCAAUCCCACCCAUUCAUCUCGGCCACGGCUGUGCAUCUACUUUGUUUUGCUCUGUUACAUUUAUUUAUAUUUAAGUAUUUUUCCAUGGUUCCAUCAUUCAUGUUGUCUUCUUCUCCUCUUCCCUCCCCUUCCCGGAGCUGACAAGCAGUUCCCUUGCGUUAUACACGUAUUCUCACUGGAUACCUGUUUCCAUAUUAUUCAUAUUUGCAAGAGUCAUCUUUUAAAACGAAAACCCCCAAAUCCUAUCCCCAGAGAACCAAAUGAUAAACCACAGGUUUCAUUCUGCUCCCACGGUUCUUCCUCUGGAUGUGGAUACAUUCUUUCUCCCAAGUCCCUCAGGAGUGUCCUGGGUCACUGCGUUGCUGCUAGUAGCAAAGUCAGUUACACUCAAUUGUGCUACAAUGUUUCCGUCUCUGUGUACAAUGUCCUGGUUCUGCUCCUUUCGCUCUGCAUCAGUCCUGGAGGUCGUCCCAGUUCAUAUAGAAAUCAAGCAGUUCAUCAUUCCUUUGAGCACAACAGUAUUCCAUCCCCAACAGAUACCACAAAGUGUUCAGCCAUUCCCCAGUUGAAG